rnacentral:rRNA from 1 species
UACGUAGGGGGCAAGCGUUGUCCGGAUUUAUUGGGCGUAAAGAGCGUGUAGGCGGCCAAGCAGGUCCGCUGUGAAAACUCGAGGCUCAACCUCGAGACGUCGGUGGAAACCGUUUGGCUAGAGUCCGGAAGAGGAGAGUGGAAUUCCCGGUGUAGCGGUGAAAUGCGCAGAUAUCGUCUGGAACGCCGAAGGUGAAAACAGCUCGCUGGGGCCGCGCUGACGCUGAGACACGAAAGCCAGGGGAGCGAACGGG